AGCUUUGCGCAGUGGCAGUAUCAUAGCCAAUGAAGUUUAUCUGAGGCACGAUUAUUGGUAAUUGAAAAGCAAAAACUAUAGUAAAGAAAAUGAAAGAAAAAUAUUUUU
rnacentral:snRNA from 1 species